AAUGAAAGCAGGACACAUUCAACCCCCAAAUGAUCAUCCAAGCAUCUAGUACAACAACAAAGGCGUCGAUUGAAGCUGAAUUUCCUGCUAAAACCGAGAGUGUUAACUUAGUCUACCAAGCCCCAAAAGUGUGAGGUCCUUGCCCAACAAUAAAUCCCAACUAGACGGCCGCCACUUGAGGUGAUGGAUGGCGUACCCACCGGAGGAACAUUCAUCUACGGAUUCUGUCCAACGUGGCAACCUUGACAACUUUGGCUCUUAUUCGCAGUCAAAUUGGUAUCCUUUCAGCAUAAGUAAGUGUGUUGUACUGGGGCAAAGGAUGUGUGUGUGUACAGCCAUGAGGUAAAGUGAGAGCUAAGGUUUUUAACGGAGGUUGUGGGCUUAUUUACACCGAAGGAGAGUUUGUACCCAAUCUGACUGAUCAUGAGUUCAAACCCAACCUGCAGACGGCAUCUUUCAAAGGGUGCGUGGGUGGGUGGGAAGGGAGAUCUACGCACAUAAUUAUCUCUCCCUCUCUCAAUUAUCGGAUGAAACCCUAUUUUAUACACGGAUGCCCAUGUCUUGUCUGAAUAAAACUUGGGGUUUCAGGUUAACGUUCAACAGUGCCUUCGAAACAUCCUCAUUCAUCUUUUUAUUGAAGUAUUUUUUGUAGUAAAAAAACUAAGUGUUAGAAAUAGACAGUGCAAAUUAUUUAAUAUUAUGCUUGUAUGAAGCAGGAGUAGGCAUGCGGACACUGGAAUGUUAAGUGAACACAAAAUGAGGUAUUCUUGAUGUUUGCAGAUUGAUGUAAUAGUUGUAGAAAUAGAAUAGAAUAUAUUUGAAGGUUAGUAUGUAGUACUGUGGUAAAGCACCAAUUAAUAUUCAAAAUUCUUCAAGUUAAAAAAUAUCUUUUACACAAUUAUUUUCUUAUUUGUUAACCAGGUUAUUAUCUAUUGUAUUGGAUAUCAAUAAUAAAAUCAUGUUUUUACCUCCUUUUGUUAUUUGGCUCAU
rnacentral:lncRNA from 1 species